AGAAUUGGUUACUGUUUUGAUUGC
rnacentral:siRNA from 1 species